CUCUCAAUCCUUAUUAGAUCAAACUUCUAUUUGAAGAAUUAGUCUCACAGCAGCCGACUAACAGUACAACUUGAUACAUAAUUAUAUGCCCAAAAAAGUACUUAUGUAAUAUCUAUUCGACUUCAUGGAGUAUUGGGACCUCAUUAGAAAAAAGAAAAAAGACAUUAUUUCCACUUCAUACUAUACAAGAAAAGUCGAAGUCACAUUUAAACUUUAUAAGUGAUCUAUUACACAUCUUAACUAUAUAAAAGUGAUAUUAUUACCUCCUCGCGACCCCCUUUCUAAGGCGCGUAUGUUACACUUAUUUUAGGCGCGUCCAACCUACUAAAUAACAAAAGUAGACGGCUAAAAUCAUUAAGGGAAAAAACAUUGUUUCCACCCCAAACUAUAGUUGAAAAGUCGAAUCCACAUCUAAACUAUAUAAGUGACCUAUUACAUACCUUAACUAUUAAAAAGUGAUACUUUUUACUCUCUAGAUCUGACGUGAAAAAUACAUAAUUAUUUAAAUAAAAAUUGACGCGUUUAAAUUAAAAGUUAAUGCAAAAAAAAUUUAAAAAAUUAAAAUACUCCUCCC
rnacentral:lncRNA from 1 species